CAGCUGAUUAAACACACACUGGGAAUGUCUGGAGCUUUGGGUCUUGAAGGUAUGUGCAUUCAGAGCAGAGAGAGGAGGCACAUGUUCAACAUUAUACUGACUCUCUUUCACACACACACACACACACACACACACACACACACACACACACACACACACACACACACACACAC